GGGCUGCAUAGCCUUAAAAAUGUAUUUUAUAAAAAUAUUGUUCGAAUUUCUUUGGCUGCGCUGGAAUGUUUACAAUUCAUACAAUUUGCACCAGAUUGUCCACCUGGUCGGUAAGUGCCUCAACUAGAGCUGCAUUAAGUGUGGCAAAAAUCGUGGCGAACCAUUUCGCCUGGGUCAUGACAAGGACGCCGCUCAGCUGCAGCAGCCCGACGGACAGCAGGAUAGACAGCACAAAGGCAACAGUGCCCUCCAGGGAACGGUUAGAGCCUGCAACGGAAUCCGAUUAGAAACUGUAUAUAAAUUUAUAAAUAUUAUGUGAUAUACGCAC